rnacentral:rRNA from 1 species
AUAUUGGACAAUGGGCGAAAGCCUGAUCCAGCCAUGCCGCGUGUGUGAAGAAGGCCUUCGGGUCGUAAAACUCUGUCAUAGGGGAAGAAAAAGAUGACGGUACCCUAUGAGGAAGCCCCGGCUAACUACGUGCCAGCAGCCGCGGUAAUACGUAGGGGGCGAGCGUUGUCCGGAAUUACUGGGCGUAAAGGGUAGGUAGGCGGCUAUAUAAGUCAGGUGUGAAAUACCAGUGCUUAAACCUGGAAUUGCAUUUGAAACUGGGUAGCUUGAGUGCAGGAGAGGAAAGUGGAAUUCCUAGUGUAGCGGUGAAAUGCGUAGAGAUUAGGAGGAACACCAGGGGCGAAGGCGACUUUCUGGACUGUAACUGACGCUGAGGUACGAAAGCGUGGGUAGCGAAC